rnacentral:rRNA from 1 species
GACGAACGCUGGCGGCGUGCCUAAUACAUGCAAGUCGAACGAACUCUGGUAUUGAUUGGUGCUUGCAUCAUGAUUUACAUUUGAGUGAGUGGCGAACUGGUGAGUAACACGUGGGAAACCUGCCCAGAAGCGGGGGAUAACACCUGGAAACAGAUGCUAAUACCGCAUAACAACUUGGACCGCAUGGUCCGAGCUUGAAAGAUGGCUUCGGCUAUCACUUUUGGAUGGUCCCGCGGCGUAUUAGCUAGAUGGUGGGGUAACGGCUCACCAUGGCAAUGAUACGUAGCCGACCUGAGAGGGUAAUCGGCCACAUUGGGACUGAGACACGGCCCAAACUCCUACGGGAGGCAGCAGUAGGGAAUCUUCCACAAUGGACGAAAGUCUGAUGGAGCAACGCCGCGUGAGUGAAGAAGGGUUUCGGCUCGUAAAACUCUGUUGUUAAAGAAGAACAUAUCUGAGAGUAACUGUUCAGGUAUUGACGGUAUUUAACCAGAAAGCCACGGCUAACUACGUGCCAGCAGCCGCGGUAAUACGUAGGUGGCAAGCGUUGUCCGGAUUUAUUGGGCGUAAAGCGAGCGCAGGCGGUUUUUUAAGUCUGAUGUGAAAGCCUUCGGCUCAACCGAAGAAGUGCAUCGGAAACUGGGAAACUUGAGUGCAGAAGAGGACAGUGGAACUCCAUGUGUAGCGGUGAAAUGCGUAGAUAUAUGGAAGAACACCAGUGGCGAAGGCGGCUGUCUGGUCUGUAACUGACGCUGAGGCUCGAAAGUAUGGGUAGCAAACAGGAUUAGAUACCCUGGUAGUCCAUACCGUAAACGAUGAAUGCUAAGUGUUGGAGGGUUUCCGCCCUUCAGUGCUGCAGCUAACGCAUUAAGCAUUCCGCCUGGGGAGUACGGCCGCAAGGCUGAAACUCAAAGGAAUUGACGGGGGCCCGCACAAGCGGUGGAGCAUGUGGUUUAAUUCGAAGCUACGCGAAGAACCUUACCAGGUCUUGACAUACUAUGCAAAUCUAAGAGAUUAGACGUUCCCUUCGGGGACAUGGAUACAGGUGGUGCAUGGUUGUCGUCAGCUCGUGUCGUGAGAUGUUGGGUUAAGUCCCGCAACGAGCGCAACCCUUAUUAUCAGUUGCCAGCAUUAAGUUGGGCACUCUGGUGAGACUGCCGGUGACAAACCGGAGGAAGGUGGGGAUGACGUCAAAUCAUCAUGCCCCUUAUGACCUGGGCUACACACGUGCUACAAUGGAUGGUACAACGAGUUGCGAACUCGCGAGAGUAAGCUAAUCUCUUAAAGCCAUUCUCAGUUCGGAUUGUAGGCUGCAACUCGCCUACAUGAAGUCGGAAUCGCUAGUAAUCGCGGAUCAGCAUGCCGCGGUGAAUACGUUCCCGGGCCUUGUACACACCGCCCGUCACACCAUGAGAGUUUGUAACACCCUAAGUCGGUGGGGUAACCUUUUAGGAACCAGCCGCCUAAGGUGGGACAGAUGAUUAGGGUG